UUUUUUCUUCUUCUUCUUUCCUG
rnacentral:sRNA from 1 species